rnacentral:rRNA from 1 species
GACGAACGCUGGCGGCGUGCCUAAUACAUGCAAGUAGAACGCUGAGGGAGGAGCUUGCUUCUCUGGAUGAGUUGCGAACGGGUGAGUAACGCGUAGGUAACCUGCCUGGUAGCGGGGGAUAACUAUUGGAAACGAUAGCUAAUACCGCAUAAGAGUAGAUGUUGCAUGACAUUUGCUUAAAAGGUGCAAUUGCAUCACUACCAGAUGGACCUGCGUUGUAUUAGCUAGUUGGUGGGGUAACGGCUCACCAAGGCGACGAUACAGAGCCGACCUGAGAGGGGGAUCGGCCACACUGGGACUGGGACACGGCCCAGACUCCUACGGGGGGCAGCAGUAGGGAAUCUUCGGCAAUGGACGGAAGUCUGACCGAGCAAAGCCGCGUGAGUGAAGAAGGGUUUCGGAUCGUAAAGCUCUGUUGUAAGAGAAGAACGAGUGCGAGAGUGGAAAGUUCACACUGUGACGGUAUCUUAACAGAAAGGGACGGCUAACUACGUG